rnacentral:rRNA from 1 species
GACGAACGCUGGCGGCGUGCUUAACACAUGCAGGUCGAGCGGUAAGACCCUUUCGGGGGUACACGAGCGGCGAACGGGUGAGUAACACGUGGGUGACCUGCCCUCAGCCCUGGGAUAAGCCUGGGAAACCGGGUCUAAUACUGGAUAUGACUCCAUGACGCAUGUUGUGGGGUGGAAAGCCUUGUGCGGCUGAGGAUGGGCCCGCGGCCUAUCAGCUUGUUGGUGGGGUGAUGGCCUACCAAGGCGA